AUCCCAUGAUGAGGACAGGCGGCGACGUAUUGCUGAAGUCGUUCCCAUGCUUCCGGGACCAUCGCAUCUUUUGUCUGCUGGAAGCUAGAUAUUCUUCCACGAAGGGC
rfam:Oryza punctata chromosome 8, whole genome shotgun sequence.